AGUGAACGCUGGCGGUAGGCCUAACACAUGCAAGUCGAACGGCAGCACAGUAAGAGCUUGCUCUUACGGGUGGCGAGUGGCGGACGGGUGAGGAAUACAUCGGAAUCUACUUUUUCGUGGGGGAUAACGUAGGGAAACUUACGCUAAUACCGCAUACGACCUACGGGUGAAAGCAGGGGAUCUUCGGACCUUGCGCGAUUGAAUGAGCCGAUGUCGGAUUAGCUAGUUGGCGGGGUAAAGGCCCACCAAGGCGACGAUCCGUAGCUGGUCUGAGAGGAUGAUCAGCCACACUGGAACUGAGACACGGUCCAGACUCCUACGGGAGGCAGCAGUGGGGAAUAUUGGACAAUGGGCGCAAGCCUGGUCCAGCCAUACCGCGUGGGUGAAGAAGGCCUUCGGGUUGUAAAGCCCUUUUGUUGGGAAAGAAAAGCAGCAGGUUAAGACCCCGCUGUUCUGACGGUACCCAAAGAAUAAGCACCGGCGAACUUCGU
rnacentral:rRNA from 1 species